rnacentral:rRNA from 1 species
CCUACGGGAGGCAGCAGUGAGGAAUAUUGGUCAAUGGACGCAAGUCUGAACCAGCCAUGUCGCGUGCAGGAAGACUGCUCUAUGAGUUGUAAACUGCUUUUGUACGAGAGUAAACCCAGACACGCGUACCUGUCUGCAAGUAUUUUACGAAUAAGGAUCGGCUAACUCCGUGCCAGCAGCCGCGGUAAUACGGAGGAUUCAAGCGUUAUCCGGAUUUAUUGGGUUUAAAGGGAGCGUAGGUGGUCGGUUAAGUUAGUGGUGAAAGCCCGAGGCUCAACGUCGAAAUUGCCUUUGAUACGGGUCGGCUAGAGAAUAGUUGCGGUAGGCGGAAGGUGUGGUGUAGCGGUGAAAUGCUUAGAGAUCAUACAGAACACCGAUUGCGAAGGCAGCUUACCAAGCU